ensembl:lncRNA
AGCCUCUCGUCGCUCGAGUUGCAUCCAGCCGCCUUGGAAUGGCCCGAUUGACGCGCAGGGUACCGAGGCCUGUUUCUUCGUGCCGUUUUAGCCUUUGAAUGUCGCCAUCCCGCUGGCUGGGCGGGCAGGCCGAUACCUCUAGAAAAUGCGUAAUUUCUAGGAUAAAAUAGUCUGACCCCUUUUGUAGCAUGGUAAAACCUGCCAGGGCAUUUAGCCCUGCUACCAUAGCUGGGCUAUGACAGCCAUCGUUGCCACUUUGCAGCACUGAAGUAGGAUUCUGCAGUGGGAAUACUAUCCUGUAUUAACCAUGUCUUUUUGUAAUUAAACAACACAAAUAUAUAUAUAUAUUUUUUUGGCUAAUUUCCAUGACAAGAUUUUAAGAGACGUUUGUGUCGCACAUCAUAAAAGAUAAUCUUGGCAUCUGUUCAUUUUAAUUGUAGGAGAAAACUGCUUAAUUUUGAGCUUUUGUGGGGACAGGGCGAUGUUCUAUAGAUGUGUCCUAUAAUUAUUCAUGAGACCGCAUGUUCUUAUCCUAUGAGAAGAUGCAGUCUCUGAAUUAUUCAUGCUUUAGUAGAUGAGAGAGGUGUCCAAAUGGGUCGUGUGUGUGUCAGUGGUGUAAGAGUUCCAGUGUGUUGUUUCAGGAAAGCUAUGAGAAUUGGAGAAAGGUGGACUUCGGACUUGCUCGUGAAAGCAGUUUGCGACUAUACGAUGAUGUGGUACUGAAUCCCGAGGACACUUUCAUCCCUUCAAAUGAGGAUUCAGGAGGAGAGAAGUCUUGUGCCUCAUCAGAGCCCUGCGUAUUGCUGCCACUGCGAACUUUGUCACUAUCCGCCUUUCAUUGCAUCACUCUAGAGCGUCCGUGGCCGACUCUGUGACUCUAGGGACGGAUCCGAGCAGACUGGAAUGCCUGAUCGUUGGAGCCUGAGACAGUGGCGUGUUUUUCACAAACUGAGAGCCUAGGAAGGAGGGAGGGAGGAAGAGCUGUAAUGAACUCGGGCUCUCGGCGAUCUCAUUAAAGUCUGAGCUACACAGCCUCCCUGGAGAUGCAGAUUAUAAAACUUUUAGAUCUUUAGCUGCUUCAAGGAGCAACAGGCAAAGUGGAUGAGUUUAGAAGGAAUGGCGGAUUCAAAGCUGAAGGAGGGUGCCAAUGAAGGAGUUUGUGUAGAUGAGAUUAAAGGGUGCGAGACGGACAAUAACCCACAGGCGACAUCGAUAUUUUAACGCUGGGCUUUUAUUCGGAGUUGACAUCAGGCCACAAAAUUCAGCCCGAAACGCCACAUCGCUAUUCAGACAUCGGAC